GACGAACGCUGGCGGCGCGCUUAACACAUGCAAGUCGAACGGAAAGGCCCUGCUUUUGUGGGGUGCUCGAGUGGCGAACGGGUGAGUAACACGUGAGUAACCUGCCCUUGACUUUGGGAUAACUUCAGGAAACUGGGGCUAAUACCGGAUAGGAGCUCCUGCUGCAUGGUGGGGGUUGGAAAGUUUCGGCGGUUGGGGAUGGACUCGCGGCUUAUCAGCUUGUUGGUGGGGUAGUGGCUUACCAAGGCUUUGACGGGUAGCCGGCCUGAGAGGGUGACCGGCCACAUUGGGACUGAGAUACGGCCCAGACUCCUACGGGAGGCAGCAGUGGGGAAUAUUGCACAAUGGGCGGAAGCCUGAUGCAGCAACGCCGCGUGCGGGAUGACGGCCUUCGGGUUGUAAACCGCUUUCGCCUGUGACGAAGCGUGAGUGACGGUAAUGGGUAAAGAAGCACCGGCUAACUACGUGCCAGCAGCCGCGGUGAUACGUAGGGUGCGAGCGUUGUCCGGAUUUAUUGGGCGUAAAGGGCUCGUAGGUGGUUGAUCGCGUCGGAAGUGUAAUCUUGGGGCUUAACCCUGAGCGUGCUUUCGAUACGGGUUGACUUGAGGAAGGUAGGGGAGAAUGGAAUUCCUGGUGGAGCGGUGGAAUGCGCAGAUAUCAGGAGGAACACCAGUGGCGAAGGCGGUUCUCUGGGCCUUUCCUGACGCUGAGGAGCGAAAGCGUGGGGAGCGAACAGGCUUAGAUACCCUGGUAGUCCACGCUGUAAACGGUGGGUACUAGGUGUGGGGUCCAUUCCACGGGUUCCGUGCCGUAGCUAACGCUUUAAGUACCCCGCCUGGGGAGUACGGCCGCAAGGCUAAAACUCAAAGGAAUUGACGGGGCCCCGCACAAGCGGCGGAGCAUGCGGAUUAAUUCGAUGCAACGCGUAGAACCUUACCUGGGUUUGACAUGGAUCGGGAGUGCUCAGAGAUGGGUGUGCCUCUUUUGGGGUCGGUUCACAGGUGGUGCAUGGCUGUCGUCAGCUCGUGUCGUGAGAUGUUGGGUUAAGUCCCGCAACGAGCGCAACCCUUGUUCACUGUUGCCAGCACGUUAUGGUGGGGACUCAGUGGAGACCGCCGGGGUCAACUCGGAGGAAGGUGGGGAUGGCGUCAAGUCAUCAUGCCCCUUAUGUCCAGGGCUUCACGCAUGCUACAAUGGCUGGUACAGAGAGUGGCGAGCCUGUGAGGGUGAGCGAAUCUCGGAAAGCCGGUCUCAGUUCGGAUUGGGGUCUGCAACUCGACCUCAUGAAGUCGGAGUCGCUAGUAAUCGCAGAUCAGCAACGCUGCGGUGAAUACGUUCCCGGG
rnacentral:rRNA from 1 species